UAAUAAUAAUUAUUUUUAAUUAAUUUUUAGGUUUGUUUUAUAAUAAGAAUAUUAUUUUUUAUUAUUAGGUUUAGAAAAAAUAAUUUUAAUUAUAGUUUAUUAUUACUGUGAAGGAAUUUUAUUUAAAUAAUUAAAAGAAAAAUUAAUUUUUUGUACCUUGUGUAUCAGGGAUGAUUAAUUAAGGUUUUUAUAUUAAAUGUUCUCGAAUUUAGAAGAGUUACUUUUAUAUAGAUAUUGUUGUUGAAUAAACACUUACAAUAUAAUAGUCGGAGUGAAACGCUAUUCGCUUUUAAAUAUAUCUAGUUUUUUAAGAAAUAAGUUUAAUUUGAUUAGUUUUUAUUAAUAAAUUAAAUUUUUAAUUUAUUAUUAUUAUUAAGUUAUGCUUUUGGGGAUGAGCUUAAAAGUAGAAAUUUAAAAUUUUAUUUGGGUAUUUUUGACUAGUAGAAUUAAAAGUUUUUUUCUAUAUAAGGAUGUUAUAUUUGUUCAAAAAGUAUAUUAUUAUUUUUAUGAUUUUUAAAUGUUUUAUUAAAAUUGGUACAUUAAUUUUAAAUGUUUGGUAAUAAUGAUUGUAUUAGUAAAAUUUUAUGUUAAAUUAGAAGUUUAGUUAAGAUUAGUUAAAGGAAUUCGGCAAAUAAUUUUUCACCUGUUUAUUAAAAACAUGGCUUGUUGAUUAUUAUUUCAAGUCUCGCCUGCCCACUGAGUAGUUAAAGGGCCGCGGUAUUUUGACCGUGCAAAGGUAGCAUAAUAAUUAGUUUCUUAAUUGGAAGCUUGUAUGAACGGUAGGAUGAGGAAAUUACUGUCUCUGUCUAAAAUUUUUUUGAAUUUUAUUUUUGAGUAAAAAAGCUUAAAUUUAAUUAAAAGACGAGAAGACCCUGUAGAAUUUUAUAUGUCUUGGUAUUGAGUUUUGUUAGAAUUUUUAUUAAUUUAAUAUUUUUACGUAUUUGGUUGGGGCGAUCGAAAAAUUAGAAUAACUUUUUUUUAAUUGUUACAUUGAUUUAUGGUUGAUUGAUCCAAGGUUUUUGAUUAUAAGAUAAAAUUACCUCAGGGAUAACAGCGUAAUCUUCUUUGAGAGUUCUAAUCGAUAGGAGGGUUUGCGACCUCGAUGUUGGAUUAAAAUAAAAUCCUGGUGCAGAAGCUGGGCAUUUUAGGUCUGUUCGACCUUUAAAAUUUUACAUGAUCUGAGUUUAAACCGGCGUGAGCCAGGUUGGUUUCUAUCUUUAAUAAUGUAAAUAUUUUAGUACGAAAGGACCAUUUAUUUAAUAUUUUAUUUUAUUUUGAAUUUAAUU
rnacentral:rRNA from 1 species